GGAUCAUUAGCUCAGUUGGUUAGAGCGCUUGGUCGACAUCCAAGAGGUCACUAGUUCGAAUCUAGUAUGAUCCACCA
rnacentral:tRNA from 1 species